rnacentral:rRNA from 1 species
GUCUACGGCCAUGCCACCCUGAACAAACCCGAUCCUGUCUGACCUCAGAAGCUGAACAGGGUCGGGCCUGGUUAGUACUCGGAAGGGAGACCACCUAGGAAGACCAGGUGCUGUAGGCA